GACAUGCAGAGAACUUUCCAGAGAUGGAUUGGUGCCUUCGGGAACUCUGACACAGGUGCUGCAUGGCUGUCGUCAGCUCGUGUCGCGAGAUGUUGGGUUAAGUCCCGUAACGAGCGCAACCCUUGUCCUUAGUUACCAGCACGUUAUGGUGGGCACUCUAAGGAGACUGCCGGUGACAAACCGGAGGAAGGUGGGGGAUGACGUCAAGUCAUCAUGGCCCUUACGGCCUGGGCUACACACGUGCUACAAUGGUCGGUACAAAGGGUUGCCAAGCCGCGAGGUGGAGCUAAUCCCAUAAAACCGAUCGUAGUCCGGAUCGCAGUCUGCAACUCGACUGCGUGAAGUCGGAAUCGCUAGUAAUCGUGAAUCAGAAUGUCACGGUGAAUACGUUCCCGGGCCUU
rnacentral:rRNA from 1 species